CGCGUCGCGUCACCGGGAGCGGCGGGAGCGCGCACGCCGCGGGGCGGGGCCUGCACCGCCGUGACUGGCGUCCGAGCGCCGCGCUGUUCCGCGGAACCACGCGGGUGCAGCUGAGCUCAGGGAAUGCCGAAAGUGAAAGUGGCAUCACGGAACUAACCAGUACUGUGGCUUGGUUACCGCCGAUCCUACAGCGAGGCGCAAAGUGCUUAUGACACCAAAGGUCCUGAAACAAAAGUCUCUAAAGGCAACACAGCUCCGGGUGGCCCUUGCUUUGACGCGGAGUGAGACUUUGAGAUCUCAAAACCCAAAAAAGGCCUUAUUGAUCAGUUUGCAGAAACAUCCCCAAAGGGUCCAGCUCUUCAGUGAGAAUGUAUGGAAUGAGAGUUAGAGGUUUGUUCAUUCAUUCAAGAACUAUAUCUUCAUCUUGAGCACAGGGAUGAGCUGUGAGGGAUAUGGCUGAGUUUGGGAGAAAAGAUACACAAAGGAAAUGUUAACCACACAAGUACGCGGGCCUCUCCCGUUGUGGAGCACAGGCGCCGGACGCGC